rnacentral:misc_RNA from 1 species
AAGUCGUAACAAGGUUUCCGUAGGUGAACCUGCGGAAGGAUCAUUAAUGAAUUAUAAGGGUGCUCUCUCUCAUCAGAGAGGCCCGAACUCUUCAUUCUUCUACACUGUGCAUUAUAAUGUGUUUUCCUGAAUUGCAAUUGAGUUUGUAAUGAGGGAACUCACACCCCUUUUUAAACUCUAAACAAGUCUAAGAAUGAAUACAAAAAACCAAAAUAUAAAAAAACUUUCAACAACGGAUCUCUUGGCUCUC